rnacentral:tRNA from 31 species
CGGGAUGUGGCGCAGUUUGGUAGCGCGCCUGCUUUGGGAGCAGGAUGUCGCAGGUUCGAAUCCUGUCAUCCCGACCA